rnacentral:rRNA from 1 species
UCGGGAAUUUUGCCCAAUGGACGAAAGUCUGAGGCAGCAACUCCGCGUGAGGGAUGACGGCCUUCGGGUUGUAAACCUCUUUUCCCAGGGAAGAUCCAAGACGGUACCUGGGGAAUAAGCCACGGCUAACUACGUGCCAGCAGCCGCGGUAAUACGUAGGUGGCGAGCGUUGUCCGGAUUUACUGGGCGUAAAGCGCGCGCAGGCGGCUGGCCAAGUCCGAUGUGAAAGCUUCCGGCUUAACUGGAAAACGGCAUCGGAUACUGGUCGGCUGGAAGGUGGGAGAGGGUAGCGGAAUUCCCGGUGUAGUGGUGAAAUGCGUAGAUAUCGGGAGGAACACCAGUGGCGAAAGCGGCUACCUGGCCCACUCUUGACGCUGAGGCGCGAAAGCUAGGGGAGCGAACGG